rnacentral:tRNA from 2 species
GUCAGGAUGGCCAAGCGAUCUAAGGCACUGCAUUCAGGUUGCAGUCUCCCCAGGAGGCGUGGGUUAAAAUCCCACUUCUGACA